rnacentral:snRNA from 1 species
AGCUUUGCACAGUGGCUACUAGUAUUGUAGCCAAUGAGAUUAAUCCGAGGCAUGAUUAUUGCUAAUUGAAGAAUUAAUUUGAUCUG